AUUUUGCUGUCUCACUCCCUGCAAUGGGGUGCCAAGCAUUCCACAGUGACACAGCAGCUUUUCCCCUGUCCCUCCAUUUCCCUUGGCUGCUCCAACUCCCCCAAAGCCACGGGGCUGCAGAUUUUCAGCGAUGCAGGUUAGAGGUUUGGCCCACCCCAAGUCCCUGAAUAGGCAAUGAAGAGAGAGGGACUCCUGGCUGGAAUCUGCAAAAGUGAUGCCCUCCUGCUCCUGUAUGAUGGGAAAUGAUGAACAGGACCCAUUUUCUUUGGUGCCAUUCAUUAUUUUGAACACCUUCAUCUUUUCCCUUCUCUGAAGCAAAAAGGUGAGAGUUGUGUCCCUCCAUUAUCGCUAAGGAAAUGAGGAGUAUCUUGCACCGAAAAGUAUUCAUUGUGCAUCUCUGCCUGAAGUACGUGGAGCCUGUGCAGUAUGUUUGAUACCUGAUGUUUGCCAAGAGAUGGAGCUGCAGAGUCAGGCUACCUACCAAGCCUGACCCCGUAAAUCAGGAACGAUAGAAUAAAACCCUUGGCAGCAAAAGCCUGUAGCCUCUCAUACUGAUGCCUGCUACUCUUCCCAAGUGACAACGAGGCUUGUGUUGGGCACUUAGCCAACUCUGUCCAAUCUAUUCCAGUUUAUUUCAUUAAGCCAUGGCUCAGAAAAGCCAAGAAACAAGCCAUAUUAAUCUUGAUGGAUCCUGGCCUCUGCUCAGAUAAUGUUAUAGAAAAUGCUCAGCAGCCCCAGAGUUGAGCAGUAACAGGAUGAAAACAGCUGCUCUCUUGGACUUGCCUUAAAACCUCUGUUCCCUACAUAUACUCCUGUGAAAUGUCAGUUCCACUGCACGGUUGUUACUCAGCUGGUAAUUUUCUGGGUUACUUUCACAAUUUAGGCAUUGCUCUAAACCUUGUCUCAGUUUUUAGUCAUCUGCAGUGUGAGACAGAAGAUAGCAAAAGGAUUCCCAAACUGCCAGGGACCUGAGUUUGUCAAUCUGUGAAGUGUCCCUCUCCAUAUGGAUUUACAGGCUUAGCUCUGGAAGCCAUAAACCUGUGUUAGUACAGAGUAAAGCCAAGUAUUUUUGGAGCAGAGCUCGGGUUCAACCCUGGGUUAAUGCAGUGAUCUGGCACGUCUGAGCCAGCUCCCAUCCACACCAUGCUCCUGUCCUUCCCAUCCCAGCACCCCGCCAAGUGGAACAAGUCCAGGUUUGUCUGUACCUGCCCGUAGUAUCCCGGGAUUACCUGGAGCUACUUCGGGAUUAGGUACAUCAUGGGGAGUCUGCUGAGCUAAUCGGGCUCUCAGUCCUCUCCAAGGCCCAGGGGAUUCUCAGAGUAGACAUUCCUGCAAACCAAGUCACUCCAGUUUCUGGGUCUUCCCACAACAGUUGGGUCUGGGUCUGCCACAUCAGUCUCAUGCAAAAAAAAAGAGCCAUGAAAGGGCAAGAACUGACUUACCCAAGUACCCUCUUGCACCCGUGAGCAGUCAGGGCAUUUUCUUGUUUUAAAAUCUGUGUUCUGCUUCAUUUGCUUAAUUCAAAAUCCUUGUGCCUACUGAUUCAUUAGGUGAGAACCAGCAGAUUAAUAUGGGAUAAAUUCUGCCUCAGUUGUGCUCCCAGAUGAGGGAGGAAGGGAGAGAGGGAGGUGAGGGAAGAGAGGUGAGUCUGCCUCUGCCUUUGGCUUGUGUUGCAAACCUCAGGUCUGUGCCAGCCAGUUUUGAACCUUUCUUCUAAUGAAGAUUUCAUCCUUUGUGUUAUGUCAAUAAGAGAGACACUCAAAACUAAAUAGAUUAGAAGAAAGGCCACUUGUGUAUUUGCUAAAUAGGAUUGGAAAAAAGUCCUUUUUCCUCCCUGUUUUUUCAUGGGAAAAAGCCAACCUGGUUAUAAGCAUAAGUCCGGCAGAAAUAUCUUUGCUGGGAAUACUGAUCAGAGAGAAGAGUUCAAAUACUUUAGGGGAUAAGGAUCCGGUAGCCUGUGUCUAGUUGGUAUUUCCUUUUGGGUGUCCAGGGCAGCUCUUUGCUUGCUAAUUUCUGAAAUUGUUCUUUUCUGUAAUUUUAGGCUAUGAUUGGCCCUGGCUGUCAGAUAUUCUGAAAAUGUAGUGUGGCAGCCCCAAGCUGUCUUUGGAGUUUUAGACUACACAGAGUUUGGUGAAAUAUUUUUUAAUCUGAUUUCCCAGUGAAAAGUCUGUUUGUCAAUCAGUCUGUUGUUUUUUGGUUGGGGAGGGAAGAAAAUCCACAAAUAAUGCAUGAGAGAAGUGGACCAUUAUCCAUGCUUGUAGAUGGCAGAUGACUGGUCAAUAUACAUGUCCUUUUUGGCCAUGCGUAGAUCUAAAAUACCAUAACACACAUUGUCCCUUGCUCUGGUGUCAAAAGAGAGAAGAUUUUGAGUUACAAGAAAAAAAAUACGUAUCUAACUUUACAUAAUAACUUCUUGAAAUACCUGUGGGGUUUUUAGUGUGGUAAAUAAAUGAUGGUUUUUUAAACCAAAAUAACCCCCUUAUACCUUAGGUCUUCUGAUACAAGGACCUACAGGUACAUACACUCCACUGGAGCAGUGACUCCCAGCUUUCAUUACCAUGUCCCUGAGCCCAACAAGUCCGUGUGGAGCCCACACUGGGCUUGUGGGACUGCUAGCUUGGGAACUGGGCUAUAGUUCAGAUAAAAUAUGCUCGUUCCUCACCUCUGAAGCCCACAUUAUUGGUUAGAAACUGUAGCUUUAGGUAAGCCCUGGUAACUCACUGAAACUCUGUGCCUCAUCCUCUCUGCUCUGGUAAAUAGAAACAUCAAUAUUGGAUAAAUAUAAUUAUAUGUUUUGUCAUAACUUAAAGAUGUUCUUCUUUGUACAGAUAAGCAACAUUUUCUUACU